rnacentral:rRNA from 1 species
AACGCGAAGAACCUUACCGGGGCUUGACAUCCUGCGCUAUCCUAGGAGACUAGGUUUCCGGGCAACCGGACGCAGAGACAGGUGCUGCAUGGCUGUCGUCAGCUCGUGCCGUGAGGUGUUGGGUUAAGUCCCGCAACGAGCGCAACCCUUGCCGUGUGUUGGUCGCAAGAUCUCUCACGCGAGACCGCCGGUGAGAAGCCGGAGGAAGGUGGGGAUGACGUCAAGUCAGCAUGGCCCUUACGUCCCGGGCUACACACGUGCUACAAUGGGUAGGACAACGAGUCGCAAACUAGUGAUAGUAAGCUAAUCUCUUAAACCUGCCCUCAGUUCGGAUUGAAGGCUGCAACUCGCCUUCAUGAAGUCGGAAUCGCUAGUAAACGCAGAUCAGCUACGCUGCGUUGAAUACGUUCCCGGGCCUUGUACACACCGCGCAUA